CCCUUAGAUGUUCUGGGCCGCACGCGCGCUACACUGACUACUUCAACGCGUUGUUUCCUUGAUCGAAAGGUCUGGGUAAUCUUUGAAAGGUAGUCGUGAUGGGGAUAGAUCCUUGCAAUUUUUGAUCUUCAACGAGGAAUUCCUAGUAAACGCAAGUCAUCAGCUUGCAUUGAUUACGUCCCUGCCCUUUGUACACACCGCCCGUCGCACCUACCGAUUGAAUGGUCCGGUGAAUCUUUAGGACUGUGGCUGAGGCCUUGCCUUGUGCGGGUCUGGCCGUGGGAAUUUAGUUAAACCUUACCAUUUAGAGGAAGGUGAAGUCGUAACA
rnacentral:rRNA from 1 species